rnacentral:rRNA from 1 species
AUACGUAGGGGGCAAGCGUUAUCCGGAUUUACUGGGUGUAAAGGGAGCGUAGACGGUGUGACAAGUCUGAUGUGAAAACCCGGGGCUCAACUCCGGGAUUGCAUUGGAAACUGCCAUACUUGAGUGCAGGAGAGGUAAGCGGAAUUCCUAGUGUAGCGGUGAAAUGCGUAGAUAUUAGGAGGAACACCGGCGGCGAAGGCGGCUUACUGGACUGUAACUGACGUUGAGGCUCGAAAGCGUGGGGAGCAAACAGGAUUAGAUACCCUGGUAGUCCACGCGGUAAACGAUGAAUACUAGGUGUUGGGGGUCUAUAGACCCUCGGUGCCGCAGCAAACGCAAUAAGUAUUCCACCUGGGGAGUACGUUCGCAAGAAUGAAACUCAAAGGAAUUGGCGGGG